rnacentral:rRNA from 1 species
GACGUUACCGACAGAAUAAGCACCGGCUAACUCUGUGCCAGCAGCCGCGGUAAUACAGAGGGUGCAAGCGUUAAUCGGAAUUACUGGGCGUAAAGCGCGCGUAGGUGGUUUGUUAAGUUGGAUGUGAAAUCCCCGGGCUCAACCUGGGAACUGCAUUCAAAACUGACUGACUAGAGUAUGGUAGAGGGUGGUGGAAUUUCCUGUGUAGCGGUGAAAUGCGUAGAUAUAGGAAGGAACACCAGUGGCGAAGGSGACCACCUGGACCAAYACUGACACUGAGGUGCGAAAGCGKGGGGAGCAAACAGGAUUAGAUACCCUGGUAGUCCACGCCGUAAACGAUGUCAACUAGCCGUUGGGAGCCUUGAGCUCUUAGUGGCGCAGCUAACGCAUUAAGUUGACCGCCUGGGGAGUACGGCCGCAAGGUUAAAACUCAAAKGAAUUGACGGGGGCCCGCACAAGCGGUGGAGCAUGUGGUUUAAUUCGAAGCAACGCGAAGAACCUUACCAGGCCUUGACAUCCAAUGAACUUUCUAGAGAUAGAUUGGUGCCUUCGGGAACAUUGAGACAGGUGCUGCAUGGCUGUCGUCAGCUCGUGUCGUGAGAUGKUGGGUUAAGUCCCGUAACGAGCGCAACCCUUGUCCUUAGUUACCAGCACGUAAUGGUGGGCACUCUAAGGAGACUGCCGGUGACAAACCGGAGGAAGGUGGGGAUGACGUCAAGUCAUCAUGGCCCUUACGGCCUGGGCUACACACGUGCUACAAUGGUCGGUACAGAGGGUUGCCAAGCCGCGAGGUGGAGCUAAUCCCACAAAACCGAUCGUAGUCCGGAUCGCAGUCUGCAACUCGACUGCGUGAAGUCGGAAUCGCUAGUAAUCGCGAAUCAGAAUGUCGCGGUGAAUACGUUCCCGGGCCUUGUACACACCGCCCGUCACACCAUGGGAGUGGGUUGMACCAGAAGUAGCUAGUCUAACCUUCGGGAGGACGGUUACCACGGUGUGAUUCAUGACUGGGGUGAAGUCGUAACAAGGUAACCGUAA